UUUGUGGAGAGUUUGAUCCUGGCUCAGGAUGAACGCUGGCGGCGUGCUUAACACAUGCAAGUCGAACGGAAAGGCCCCGCUCGCGGGGUACUCGAGUGGCGAACGGGUGAGUAACACGUGGGUGAUCUGCCCUGCACUUUGGGAUAAGCCUGGGAAACUGGGUCUAAUACCGGAUAGGACCAUCGUUUAGUGUCGGUGGUGGAAAGAUUUUUUGGUGUGGGAUGAGCUCGCGGCCUAUCAGCUUGUUGGUGGGGUAAUGGCCUACCAAGGCGUCGACGGGUAGCCGGCCUGAGAGGGUGUACGGCCACAUUGGGACUGAGAUACGGCCCAGACUCCUACGGGAGGCAGCAGUGGGGAAUAUUGCACAAUGGGCGCAAGCCUGAUGCAGCGACGCCGCGUGGGGGAUGACGGCCUUCGGGUUGUAAACUCCUUUCGCCGAGGACGAAUUUUUGACGGUACUUGGAGAAGAAGCACCGGCUAACUACGUGCCAGCAGCCGCGGUAAUACGUAGGGUGCGAGCGUUGUCCGGAAUUACUGGGCGUAAAGAGCUCGUAGGUGGUUUGUCGCGUC
rnacentral:rRNA from 1 species